rnacentral:misc_RNA from 1 species
GAUGAAGAACGCAGCGAAAUGCGAUAAGUAAUGUGAGUUGCAGAAUUCAGUGAAUCAUCGAAUCUUUGAACGCACAUUGCGCCCGCCAGUAUUCUGGCGGGCAUGCCUGUUCGAGCGUCAUUUCAACCAUCAAGCCCCAGGCUUGUGUUGGGGACCUGCGGCUGCCGCAGGCCCUGAAAACCAGUGGCGGGCUCGCUGUCACACCGGGCGUAGUAGAUUUUAUCUCGCUCAGGGCGUGCUGCGGGUUCCGGCCGUUAAAAAGCCUUUUUUACCCAAGGUUGACCUCGGAUCAGGUAGGAAGACCCGCUGAACUUAAGCAUAUCAAUAAGCGGAGGA